CUUUUCCUUUUCCUUUUCAUUCAAUUAUAGGAUUGUAUUUUCAGUUCCGAAAUAUAAUUGAGAAAGAGAGGAUUUAUCAUUGGUUAGACUUUUUUAUUUUCUUUUUCUGUAUUUGAAUAUAGUAUUGAUUUCCAGAUUAGUAAUCGAAAUUUACGUACACAAAUAUAUUCUUCUGUUGUGUGAAAUUAGGGCUUCUAUACUUUUUAUUCGAGAAAGUUGUUGGGGUUUGAUUGUGAGAAUUCAUCGUUAGGGUUUUCGUUCGAGAACUGGUUCAGGAAAGUCUGAAAUUAAUGGCGGCUGGAAGACAUGGUGGUUACAGAGACAAUAAGUUCAGGGACCGUGGGUCUGAUUUUGAGGCUUCGAGGAAGGAAAUCGAGUAUUCUAAGGGGGGUUAUGGUCCAUUUGGGAACAGGGAUCAGUAUUAUGAUAAGAGUCAUGUCCGGAUUCGUAAUAGUCAGGAUUAUAGAGGUAGGGUUAGACAGAGGGAUGUUAAGGAGAGGGGGAGAGAGGUGACUAAUGGUGGAUAUCGAUCUGCUUCUAGUAAGAGUGAUUCGGGAAGCAGUGGUGGUGAGCCUAAGAAUGACAGAUUUUCAGUUCAGGUUGUGGACCGAGAGCCUGGGGAGCUUUCUAGUGAGGGGUCUGAUGAGACUGUUGAUUUGGAAAUUCAGGUAAAUAAAGGGAGUGAAGUGAAGAAUUCAGAAAAUAGUAAUCACUCAUCGCAGCUGCAAAGUAAGAAGCGAAAGUUUUCUCCUAUUGUCUGGGAGAGAGACGAUAGGGAAGUCAGUAGAACAGUUAAGAGUAGGAAUCUUUUAGAAUCUAAGUUACCUCCUUUGCCGAGGGCAAAUUCAAGUAACCCUUCACCUAAUGCGGCUGUACAGAUUUCACCAACAGAUGAUUCUAAGGUUCAGAAGUCAGAAGCAUUGUCUCCUCAGAUAAGAGUGGAACCCGAUGAUGUGCUGGAAUCCUCAAUUGAAGUAUCCUCUCCACUUCCUGAAGACAUCCCCGAGCAUGGAGCAGAGACACUUAAUGAUGAUGAUAAUGCAAUUACGCGCACCAUAAUAUCCUCUCGAUGGGCAAAUGAUGCUGACUCACCUGCUGAUGAAGGUGAAAUUUCUGAUGAUGAAGAUUUGCAGAAAUUGAAGAAGUGGAAUUCUGGUUCUGGGCCUUCUGAAGGAAGGGGAAUUGGAAAAUCAUUAACUCUGGAGCCUGGAGUAGUCGAAAAAGAAGGUUCUGAGAGAACAAGAGGAAGAUCCUCUGGAUCUGACGAAGGCAUUCGGUCUUCUAGUAGAGAGAGUUUUACUGACAAUGAUGACAAAAAUGAGUACAUGGAGAUUGGUGUGGACCGAAAUUAUGAUGGUGCUAGUCUUACCCAUUAUGACACAGAAUCAGAGGAUCAAAAUUGUUCCCGUGGGACAGCAGAGCCUACAUUACCCACACAAAGGAGUGUGAAUAUGCUUCAGGGAUGCAGGAGUGUAGAUGAGUUUGAGAGACUGAACAAAAUAGAUGAAGGCACUUAUGGGGUAGUUUUUAGAGCUAGAGAUAAAAAGACUGGGGAAAUUGUUGCACUAAAGAAAGUUAAGAUGGAAAAAGAGAGAGAAGGUUUUCCUUUGACAGCUCUUCGGGAAAUUAACAUUCUUCUUUCUUUUCACCACCCCUACAUUGUUGAUGUUAAAGAAGUAGUUGUGGGGAGCAAUCUUGACAGUAUUUUCAUGGUUAUGGAGUACAUGGAACAUGAUCUUAAGGGAUUGAUGGAGACAAUCAAACAACCAUUCAGUCAAAGUGAAGUUAAAUGCCUUAUGCUCCAACUUUUAGAGGGUGUUGGGUAUCUUCACGAUAACUGGGUGCUUCACCGAGAUCUGAAAACAUCAAAUUUGCUUUUAAAUAAUAGCGGUGAGUUGAAGAUCUGUGACUUUGGUUUGGCUCGUCAAUAUGGAAGCCCGUUGAAACCAUAUACUCAAUUGGUGGUUACUCUGUGGUACAGGGCACCGGAACUUCUUUUAGGAACCAAGCAAUAUUCCACUGCAAUUGAUAUGUGGUCAUUGGGAUGUAUUAUGGCUGAGCUGUUAUCAAAAGAACCUUUGUUCAAUGGGAAAACAGAGUUGGAUCAACUCAACAAGAUAUAUAGGAUCCUUGGCAAACCAAAUGAGGAAAUUUCGACUGGUAUUAACCAUCAGUACAAUCCUUUGCGUAGGAAAUUUCCUCCCACUUCUUUUAUUGGAUCACCGGUACUUUCGGAAGCUGGAUUUGACCUCUUGACCAAGCUUUUAACUUAUGAUCCUGAGAAGCGGAUUACUGCUAAAGCGGCUCUCAACCAUGAAUGGUUCCGUGAAGUUCCUCUUCCCAAGUCUAAAGAACUUAUGCCUACUUUUCCAGCUCAGCAUGCACAAGACAGGCGCAGGCGAAGAAUGUUGAAGAGUCCCGAUCCCUUAGAAGAGCAACGGAGAAAGGAGUUGCGACAAGGGGAAUUAGGCACUGGCGGUGGUUUAUUUGGCCAAGAGUAGCUACCAACGUUUGAAGAUACAUUCUUCAUUAGUUUUUACUUUAGUCUCAGACAAAACAUAGUUGAGGUGAGAGCUAUGGAUAGAAAGGAUUGCAAACAUUGUUGUGAAACUUGUGCUGUUUUUUAACAGGCACCGUUGGAAAAUUUGGUGGAGCAAUCCAGUUGCCCCUGCUCUUGAAUCAGAUUUGUGCAAACUGACAUUUUAUUCUGCUGCUCUGCUGUUCCACAAAAACGUAUCUUUGACACUGCUUGCAUGGCCAGAGAUGAUGAUGUAAUGCAGAGGGGAUAUUCUUAGCUUAUCAUUGUUGAAGAGUUUGAGAGAGAGCAUUUCUCCCAAAGGUAAUUAUUAAAUUUGAAUCCACGGAUGUAGUUAUAGAUUAGAAAUUUUUGCUCUAUUCAUGUGGAAUAUAGGUUUGUCUCAAUUAGAAAUUUGAUUUAACAUUCAGUUGUAGGUUUAAUUUUUUAGUGCUGAUAACUUAUAUUUUUAACCUCUCCAAUUUUUGCGAAUGUCAACACUACGGAGCAAAGCGUUGCAUUCUAACAUGCUAAGAAUGGUUGUUGAUAUUUAAUAUGCUUGUUAAUUAUUGUUCGUUUGACUAUUUGUUGGCCAUUUAUAAGUGAAGAGUUGGGAUCAAUAUAUUUGAUUUCUUGAUGCUGAAAGUAACCAAGCGUAUUUUGUUUCUUAUUGGUAUUUAAUUGAUGCUAGGUGGGAUGGUAGUGGAUGCGAUGUUCGAACCUACUGACCACCAUUGCAAUCAAUUGACUACUGUGAUUGUCGAUCGACCACCAAGAGUGAUUGACCGACUACCCGACGAUUGAAUACCACGAUCAAUCAACCGACCAUCAUGAUUCCCGAACAUCACGUUCUUUAAUUGAAAACUGCAUGACGGUUAUCACAUCACUUCUAACCAUCUAGUGAUUUUUAGUCUUAAUCAAUUUUUUAAUUUUGAAAGCUCAACAUUAGGACCAUAGGGCGAUUUUGAGCUUAUAACCAAUUUUUGGUUUUAUUGCUCACCGCCUAUCCCCUUGACGACUUUGAUGUGCUGGGAGAAGUUUGAAGCUUGUGAUUUAACUGAUCGUAAAUCAAGUUCGCGCGUUAACAUUAAACUUGCCUAAAUUUGGAGAUUCGGUACACCAGGGCAUCCCAGCUAUGCUGGCACUUUCUUAGUGCCCUCAUCAUAAGCAGCCAUCUAAACUUAUCAUUGAACAAUGCUAAUAAUUACAAUAGGAUAUACCUAUAGCAGGGAUUACAUUAGGGAAAUCGAUGAAACAUCUUAGCAACUAUGUUUUCAAGAGAAAUAAAAGGACAUCACAUAGUAUCAUACUUGGCGACCUUUUGAUGGUCGACCUAAACUCUGUGUUUCACGGCCUACUUAGUGGCUUUCCCUUCAAAUCUUUGAGACUGUGAGCUCCCUUUCAAAGGCUGCAAAUUACUUCACACGGUUCUUACCAAUUUGGCCCGAGUUUAGGCGGAGGGUGCCCUGCUGCUGCUACCUCUCUUAGUACAAGAUCUUUCUAUUGAAAAACUGUCGGUCUCACCCUUCAAUUAAAGUACUCGGCAGCCUUUUGCUUGUAAGCUGCCAUCUUCACAGCUCCCCCGCUCUCAAUAAUAAAAUUAGUUGGGAGCUUAUGAUUCCUUUUGGGAUUGUGGUGUCCAAAGUGCAUCUAUUAUUCUGAUGGCACCAACCAAUCCGAGAGAGAUCAGAAGGAUGCAACAAUUAACGUCUGUGCCAGUGCUCUAUCUGCUACUGGUCUUUUUUACAUAUGGUGUAGUUCACCUUGAAAUUAUUUGUUGAGCCCUGCCAUAUGGUUGGAUGAUAAAGAAAUUUAGGUAGAUAGAUUUAUAUUUUUGGCCACUACGAAGUAAAAAGAAUGGUUUACAUCUAUCAAUUAAUUUAUAUCGUGUGUAACAGUGGUACACUGGUAAUCGUCUAUUUAUAUGGCCCUAUGGGGAUUUGAAAUUAUUAAUUGCUAACUUGAUGGAGUCGUAUUGUGCUUGUUUUCAUGUAAGGAUGGUAUUGAAGCUCCUAGCAUAUGAUGAACAUCACUGGAAGUUGAUGAUUUGUCAUUUUCUGUUGAGUUGAAAUGACGUAGUGUUUAGUUUUCUUGGCCAUGGUCAUUUUUCAUGUAUUGACUCAUCAAAAGUAGUUGCUUUCGAUUUACAGUUUCUUGUAUCCCGGGAGAUUAAACAAUAUUUUAAGAGGUUUUAUGGCUUGAACAAAAUUUGAACUUUUGUGAUGUAAUUUCUUGUAUCCUGGAAGAAUAACCGAUUCUUUUAGAGCUUUUAUGGUGUGAACAAGAUAUACUUUUAUGACAUACAUUUGCACAUGUCACUGCAGUAUAAAAGCAAGCAGGUUGAGGAUCUCUCUCACAACCUGGCAUGCAUUGAAUUCCAAUUUUUUUCCAUUAUUCAGAUAUUCUUUGUUGUCUGCUCAAACUCAAGGUAUGUUACCAAUCUUCUUGUUACAGUUUUAAUACUUAAGUGCAAGUUUUCUAAAUUAUUAUAAAUUAAUUUUUUCUAUGUUUUAUGGAAAUAAUAAUAUUAAACUUAAAAUGUGCAAUGCUUUGAUAUUGAGGAAGAUUUUUGUUCCUAUUUUUUGUAAUUAGACAUACAACUGACCAAUCAGAGAACCGGAAUCAGCUGGCAGUUGGUACGACUUGUUUUUGUUUCUUUUUUCUUUCCCGUGUUUUUCGGCAUCAUUCCCACUCCUGAUUUAACAAGUGCAUAAUGUAGCAAGGGUUGUCGCACACCUUUUAGUUAAUUGGCUUGAAAAUUUUGCAAUUUUAAAGAGAUCCUCAAGUGUUUAUGAAGUCGAGAUAGGUACACAUUUGCUACCCUGUUACAUUUCUAAUACUUAAUUGUCUAUGACAGUUUUGGCCGAAGUGCUAUAAAUGAAUUUUUAAUUAGUGGUUACAAAUGAUAGGUACACGGUGCUUGAUUUAUCAUGGCAUUUAAGAGUUUUGUGUUUUCGGGACGGUUCAAACAUUUGUUAAACUUGGUAUAUGCUUUCUAGGGUGUGUAUAUAAUUGGUGAAACUUUUGAAACAUAUAAAUUUACAUGCCUUGUGCAUGGGGUACCGUACUUUUUGUUUUAUUCAAGCUGUGUGGAUAAAAAGCUUUGGGCAACUUUGGCUUUCAAGCAUUUCAUUUUAGAAUAUGAAGCAUGUCUGGCUAAGCUUAAUUAUAGAAGUAUCCUUUUGUCUUGAAACGUGUUUGGAUAAGUGACUUUUUCACAAGUUUCUUAUUUUAGAAAUAGUUCUUUUUUGAGGGGUAUUUCCUAUGGCUUCAUAUAAAGAAUUCUCACCUUCUCUCCAAGUUCUCUAUUUCUUCGAAUUUGUAAACUUAAUAAACUUUUUGAACUUGAGCUGAACACUCGCAUGGUAUUGUCGUGUCUUUUGCUCUUUCAAUAUGCAUAUGUAACCGGCUAUCCAAGUAUUCUAUCUUGCUGAUGCCCAUCUGUGGGUUUCACGGGUCAUAGGCCGACCUGGCACGGGCGUUGUCAUGAAGGGGAGCAAUGGUCACUUGUUCUUAUGUCCUCGAGGCCGAGUUAAGUUGAGUAAACCAGAUACUGAAGUAAUGGUUGUUCUGAGGUACGUAUGCCCACGAUUAUUGAAUGGACUGCUCUCGUGCUCUUAGAAUCUUGGAGGAGUUAGUAUAUUUUGCUGUGUAGAUGAUAAUAUCUUUUAUUACAUGUACCCACAGAAGUAUAUAUUUUUUUAUUUCUAUAAAGGAAUUCCCUUAUUUAUAUUGCA